rnacentral:rRNA from 1 species
AUGGCCGCGGCAUCAGAUUCGUCGAGCGGCAAGGAGGCUCUCUCGCCAAGGGCGGCCAGGGCGCGCAUGGAGGAAGCCAUGGGGAAAUUAGAUCUCACGGAAGAGGAGGCAACGCCAUUGAUCCUGGAUGAUGUUAAUGAUGGCGCGAGGCCAAUCUGGGUGAUCGCGGGGAAGGUUCUCCACCGGAAUUUGUUGCAUAUUCAGACGAUCGCCAAUGCUUUGCGCCCGGCUUGGGGAAACCCUAGAGGUCUGGUGUUCCGAUCGGCUGGUGAGAAUAUCUUUGUGGCGGAAUUUGAGACUUAG